GUGAAAAUGAACAAUCAAUGGCUCUAUAGGCUCUAUACCAGUAAAUUUUAAUGGGAACAGAGGGAAAAUGCCUUUUAAAAAGUUUUGUGUUUUUUUAAGCUGUGACUUUUUAAUUUUUUUUUUUUCAGCAGAGCUUUAACCCAGGUUUUCAGAGAGUAAGAGCAUAUCCUCAAAUACCCUUCCACUUUCUCCUCUCCACUGUAAGACUCUUAUAUAAAUCUGCUGCAAAGGUGACCUACAAAGCUAUAACUUACUGAAAUGAGCCCUCAGAGUCUUGCUCAGGAUCUGGAGCUCACAAUGAAAGAUUAUUGAUGUUUUCAGCAGAAAAGCUGUCAAUUAGAUGUACAGUUUGCCAUAACAGCUCCAGGGUAUAAACCUGAAUUCCUCUGUGAAUUUACUGGAUCUAUUUUGCAGCCACAGGGCCAAGCACACAACUCGCCAUUUGCUUCAGGAGAUCCAGAUGUUCACCUUAUUUGGAUGUGUACCAGGAAUCGUAUUAAGAUCACAUUAGUUUUAGAUGACGCUAGAGAUUGAGAAGCGAAGACAGAAGAAUGAGGAUGGUUAUGAAGAAGAGUCACGAAGAAAUAAGAGAAUAAAGUUAAUGGGGUUGGAGUGGAAGAGCUGUAGAGCACUUUCAUGCCAUGAAAAUAUUUUCACAUUUCACACUCUUCCCGGAUUCUGCAGUGACUAUGGAGGCAAGGCAUCACAAAAGGAAAGACGUCUCCAGAAAGACUGAUUUUGGAAAAUAUAGGCAUUCUGACUUGGAGAGAGUCUCCAAAGACAGUGUUCCAACUUAACCUGGAAAGGUGUGUAAAUGAGAAAUAAAAUUUUGUUGAGAUAAUGUUAUGGAGAUUGUGUGG
rnacentral:lncRNA from 1 species